UGAUUUGUAUCUAAACUUGCA
ensembl:piRNA 21ur-3767 ncRNA